GGCUGCUGCAGUCCCAGGAACCUGAGGUCCCCGAAGGCCGGGCCCCCGCUCCCCGGACCCGCCGUGGGGAGCGCGCCAACCCCGGAGAAGUGGGUAAGUGUGGGUCGGCCUGCACGUGAGCGCGCUUCGCGGGUGAGGUUGGUAAUGGGGGCCACGUGGAGAACUUGGCCGACUGUCCCGAUGAUAAUGAGAUUAGGAAGUGCAGUCAGAAUCGACAACUGACGGUUUUUAUGCCUGUCUGACCGCAGUCGCUGAAACCUCGACAGGGUGAUUGAACAUCACCGCCAGAACUUGGCCCUUAACACGCGUCGCCCUGCAUGUGCCAGCCGGGAGCAGGAUCCCUCCCUAAGGUAGGACCUAGUCCGGGCGGGGUUGGAGCUGUAAUUUGGAACGUUUUGGUUGCUCAAAUGCAGUGGAAUUGGCUGAUAGUUUACAGUUGUAACGUUUGUGCAUUGGACACCGCACCAUCACAAUGUGUUGCUGAGAACAGCCAACGGCCUGGUUGUUUGUGGAGCAAUUACGGCUUGUUUCCAGGUGGUGUCCAGGUUUCUGGAGUGGUACUGGGGAGUGGGGAGGUGCUUGACUGCUCUGAUGAAAUCACUUAUAGGAAGUGCCGUCAGAAGCGAUAACUGACGAUAACAGUUCCUGGCUGACUGCAGUCAACAAGUCCUCCCCAGCUGCCGGUGUCCUGGCGGAUCUUGGUUUGAGCAGUGACCUUUAUUAUCUGUAUUCACCCAGGUUGCCAGUUAGCGUGCGAUCGUUAGCAGCUGAGGAUUCGAGUGAUGAGUGGCCUGCCUUGAGGUGAGUUUUGAUCUCUGGAGAAGUUUAGUGGUUGAGUGAGCCUCCUUGUUACAUUAGGUGAAGUUCCCGGUUAGAUAGUGGGAAUUUUAUCGGUUAACCUAAUCCCUUGUAUCCGUGUAGCCCUUGACCUUUAUUGGCAACAUCUCUGAGAUCCUGAUUAUGGUUCAUAGUGGUCGUGGAGCUGAGUGCAGAGGAAACCCAGGAAUUUCCUUUUCAUCUCACUGCUGUAUAAUCCUGAGCAAAUCGCCUAUUUGCUGAGAUUGUUUUCCUCGUCCUUUAAAAUGGUAGCUUUAGGUCUGGGAUCUUUAAAAUGAUGUGACUAGGGGCACCUGGGUGGCUCAGUCAUUUAAACACCUGACUUGGCCUCAGGUCAUGAUCUCGCAGUUCAUGAGUUCCAGCCCUGCAUUGGGCUCUGUGCUGACAGGUCAGAACCUAGAGCCUGCUUCAGAUUCUGUCUCCCUCUUUCUGCCCCUCCCCUGCCCGUGCUUGCUCUCUAUCUUUAAAACUAAGUAUUUUUAAAAACUGAUGUGACUUAAGUAAGUGGAGGUUACGAUAUCCAAAGAAGCCAGUUAAGACUUUUAGACUUCUGUGGUUUAAUUUACAAAAAAGCAUCUCCAGAACGUUUCCAAGAACUUCUAUUACGAUGAACUUGGGAGCUGUAGUUGAGGCUAUCCUGAUAAGACCUACCUGUUUUGUCUUUGGUGUCUGCUGCCUGUCUAGGGGUGCCUGAAUUGCCCCAGGUUUUGAGUGCUGGGUUGUCGAAAAUCAGCGAUCAGCAGUGUGGAGUUGAAGCUGGUGGUGCCACAGCUCAGCCCAAGUAGAGGUAAGCUUUUGUCUGGACAAGGGCCCCCUCCCCCUCCUUGGUAGAAUGAAUAAGCUAAUUUUGUGUAAACUGACAUGCAGAAAAGAUAUCAAAUGAUGAAAUCACCUAAAAAUAGCUGGAAUUACCGGCAGAUUGUGUAGUGUUGAACCUGUGGUUUUCUGAAGAUAUCUGUGUAUGCUAUGAAUAACCGUUGGUCGGAGUAGAGAGUGAGACUGAUACUUAGUGUCUUUGCAGGCUAUCUUCCAGAGAAUGGUCAGCCAUGCGAGGACCAGUGACCACCAUCAGCUUGGACUGAAAACCUAGACUUCAGUAGUUGGUGUGGAAACAGUACUUACCUGAGGCUGAGAUUCAGAGCCCGUUCCGUUACCAGCAGUAGAACCAACAAAUGUGUUUUUCUAAGAUAGGUCACUGUUGGUUUUCUAGUGUUACAAAUAUAUUUCUAGUUCUCCCUUGCCCAAAGAGCUUUCUGCACUUUUUAAUUUUGUAUGAAUUCUGUUGGGUGAGGGUCUGAGUUCUUAAGCUUAAAGCUUAUUUCUUCCUGAAAUUAGCAUUUCCAUGCAAUUACAAUAAAUCAGUACUACAAUAAAGGAUGGUUUUUAGUAUUGAUUCUUAAAAAUGUAUUUGGAGAAAAGUUUGAUUACUGCUGUUAGAUAUGAGCAGUCCAGGUAUUGGCAUUUGUCAACAUCUGUAUGGUCCGGCCUAAGCUGUUCUCCUGUAACAACUUCAGACUUUAAGGGUGAAAGUUCCAAAGCAUUUAAGGCAUCCACACCUUUGAUUCCAGUCUGUUGCCCUUGGGCCACGUCCUUUUGCAUAGCCUCCACCUCCUGAAACUAUGCUUAGUCCAACCAUUGAGCAGUGGCAGGCAAGGUGCCAUAGUCUGGUUCUUGACCUAGCCCCCAUCUUGCUGCCUUCCUGAGUUGGGAUCUUGCCUGUCAACGAGGCUGGAGGCCUGUCAGGCCGUGCUUCCCAGCUGUCUGCCAUUUGCCUGAGCAGUCUGGUCACCAUCUAUGGGCUUUUUUUCAGCUUAAAAGGGCUGUUUUCCAAUCUCCCUGGACUUGAAGUCUAUGCCUUGGGUCUAGGCUUAUUGUGCCUAGAAGGCUUGUAGGCCUUGAGUAAGAAGAGAGGGUGAAAAAAACCUUUGCUUCCUCUCCUUGGGAACCUCUACUUUUGGGAGGCCGUAGAUCUGCCAAGAGUUUGAAGUUUAAUCUCAUGGUCUUGGGUUUUUUUAAGGAGCCCUCCAUAGGAGGUUUUGGGAGUGUGCUCCAUAUCACGAAUUACUUUGGGGACUUUGAGAAAUUCUGAGAAAGACCCUUAAGAUCCUUUUAAAGGGGCAGUACUCUGGCUUGCACACUUGCAACACUGAACCCUAGUGAAGGGCUGGUAGACUUUGGCUUGGGGCAGGGGUUAUGGUGUAGGGUUUCUGGGUGGGCCUUUUUAUGCAUGCCGGUAUUUGUAGGCCUUCUGGGAUGCUCUGGAAGGGUAUGGGGUAGCUGGGCCUGGGGUGGGGCCCUGGAAUCCC
rnacentral:lncRNA from 1 species